rnacentral:rRNA from 1 species
UACGUAGGGGGCAAGCGUUGUCCGGAAUUAUUGGGCGUAAAGAGCGUGUAGGCGGUCCGGUAAGUCAGCUGUGAAAGUCAAGGGCUCAACCCUUGAAUGCCGGUUGAUACUGUCGGGCUAGAGUCCGGAAGAGGCGAGUGGAAUUCCCGGUGGUAGCGGUGAAAUGCGGCAGAUAUCGGGAGGAACACCAAUGGCGAAGGCAGCU